rnacentral:snRNA from 1 species
ACGCUUACCUGGUUCCGGGGCCUCGUUGAUCACCCACAACGAGCCCCUAGGGCGAGGCACGGGCAUUGCGCUGCGCUUGCGCUGACGCCUGCUACUACCCCAAAAUGGGAAGAUGGGGCAAUUUAAAUGC